UUACUUUGGGAGCACAUAUGUUGAAACUGGAAUGGUACAGACAAGAUUACCAUGAGACCUGGACAGGAAUGACCCUGAGCAAAUUUGUGAAACGUUCCAGUUUUAA
rnacentral:snRNA from 1 species